GAUGAACGCUGGCUACAGGCUUAACACAUGCAAGUCGAGGGGAAACGGCAUUGAGUGCUUGCACUGAAUGGACGUCGACCGGCGCACGGGUGAGUAACGCGUAUCCAACCUUCCCGUUACUGCGGGAUAACCUGCCGAAAGGCAGACUAAUACCGCAUGUUCUUCGAUGACGGCAUCAGAUUCGAAGCAAAGACUCGUCGGUAACGGAGGGGGAUGCGUCUGAUUAGCUGGUUGGCGGGGCAACGGCCCACCAAGGCGACGAUCAGUAGGGGUUCUGAGAGGAAGGUCCCCCACAUUGGAACUGAGACACGGUCCAAACUCCUACGGGAGGCAGCAGUGAGGAAUAUUGGUCAAUGGGCGGAAGCCUGAACCAGCCAAGUAGCGUGCAGGAUGACGGCCCUACGGGUUGUAAACUGCUUUUAUGCGGGGAUAAAGUGAGGGACGCGUCCCUUUUUGCAGGUACCGCAUGAAUAAGGACCGGCUAAUUCCGUGCCAGCAGCCGCGGUAAUACGGAAGGUCCGGGCGUUAUCCGGAUUUAUUGGGUUUAAAGGGAGCGUAGGCCGGGGAUUAAGUGUGUUGUGAAAUGUAGGCGCCCAACGUCUGACUUGCAGCGCAUACUGGUUCCCUUGAGUACGCGCAACGCCGGCGGAAUUCGUCGUGUAGCGGUGAAAUGCUUAGAUAUCAUGAGGAACUCCGAUCGCGAAGGCAGCCUGCGGGAGUGUUACUGACGCUUAAGCUCGAAGGUGCGGGUAUCGAACAGG
rnacentral:rRNA from 1 species